rnacentral:lncRNA from 1 species
UUAUUUAGGAUUUGAAUUUUCCUAUUGAAAUAUUAUGUUGCUAUUUAUCCAUGAUAACAAUUAAUGUUUAUUUUUCAAGGUUGUUGGUCAUUAACUUAGUUACAUAGAUAACAAUAGCAAUUGCUUUCCUGCGUAUCAUCAUUACUACUGCCUAUAUCGUACCUAUAUUUUGUGUUUUCUGUGGAGAACGAAUGGCUCAAGUUAAUGAAGCUAAUGAAAUAUCAAAAACCUACCAAGACAAUUUCUGACAUUUUACAACAUUCUACAGGCACAUAGAAGACUGGCUUAUGAUGGCGAAAGACUUUUGAAGGCGGUUACCUUGAUUGGGAUCAUAUCUAUUAAACCUUCGAAUCCUGCACUCAAAAGUAAAUGUGAUACCAUUCAAAUGGAAUAAGAUUGAUUUGAAUUGGAAUUUGUUAUUCCUGUAUCAUAGUGCAUUUUUCUACUAGUUACCCUACGUAUUGUACAUUAUUGUAAUAAAGCACUAGCUGUUCCAUAGUAGAAGUCUUUGAAAUAAAAGGUUUCUUUUUCAAGUUA